GAGUAACACGUGGGUAACCUACCUAUAAGACUGGGAUAACUCCGGGAAACCGGGGCUAAUACCGGAUAACACAUGAAACCGCAUGGUUUCAUGAUGAAAGACGGUUUUGCUGUCACUUAUAGAUGGACCCGCGGCGUAUUAGCUAGUUGGUAAGGUAACGGCUUACCAAGGCAACGAUACGUAGCCGACCUGAGAGGGUGAUCGGCCACACUGGAACUGAGACACGGUCCAGACUCCUACGGGAGGCAGCAGUAGGGAAUCUUCCGCAAUGGGCGAAAGCCUGACGGAGCAACGCCGCGUGAGUGAUGAAGGUCUUCGGAUCGUAAAACUCUGUUAUUAGGGAAGAACAAGGAUGUAAGUAACUAUGCAUCCCUUGACGGUACCUAAUCAGAAAGCCACGGCUAACUACGUGCCAGCAGCCGCGGUAAUACGUAGGUGGCAAGCGUUAUCCGGAAUUAUUGGGCGUAAAGCGCGCGUAGGCGGUUUUUUAAGUCUGAUGUGAAAGCCCACGGCUCAACCGUGGAGGGUCAUUGGAAACUGGAAAACUUGAGUGCAGAAGAGGAAAGUGGAAUUCCAUGUGUAG
rnacentral:rRNA from 1 species